AGGACGAACGCUGGCGGCGUGCUUAACACAUGCAAGUGGAGCGACGAACCAGGCUUCGGCCUGGGGCAGAGCCGCGGACGGGUGAGUAACACGUGGGUAACCCACCCCGAUGACCGGGACAACCCGAGGAAACUCGGGCUAAUACCGGAUGAGCUCUCAUCUCAUGAGGGAUGAGAGGAAAGAUAGCUUUGGCCUUCGCAUCGGGACGGCCCGCGGCGCAUUAGCUUGUUGGUGGGUAAAGGCCUACCAAGGCGACGAUGCGUAGCUGGUCUGAGAGGACGAUCAGCCACACUGGGACUGAGACACGGCCCAGACUCCUACGGGAGCAGCAGGUGGGAAUCUGCACAAUGCGCGAAAGCGUGAUGCAGCAACGCGCGUGGGGAAGAAGGCCUUCGGUGUAACCCUUGAGUUGGACGAAGCUCGCCGGUUAAUGCCGGCUGAGUG
rnacentral:rRNA from 1 species